AUUGAACGCUGGCGGCAGGCUUAACACAUGCAAGUCGAGCGGAGAUGAGGUGCUUGCACCUUAUCUUAGCGGCGGACGGGUGAGUAAUGCUUAGGAAUCUGCCUAUUAGUGGGGGACAACAUUCCGAAAGGAAUGCUAAUACCGCAUACGUCCUACGGGAGAAAGCAGGGGAUCUUCGGACCUUGCGCUAAUAGAUGAGCCUAAGUCGGAUUAGCUAGUUGGUGGGGUAAAGGCCUACCAAGGCGACGAUCUGUAGCGGGUCUGAGAGGAUGGUCCGCCAAACUGGAACGGAGACACGGCCCAGACUCCUACGGGAGGAAGCAGUGGGGAAUAUUGGACAAUGGGGGGAACCCGGAUCCAGCCAUGCCGCGUGUGUGAAGAAGGCCUUAUGGUUGUAAAGCACUUUAAGCGAGGAGGAGGCUACUGAGACUAAUACUCUUGGAUAGUGGACGUUACUCGCAGAAUAAGCACCGGCUAACUCUGUGCCAGCAGCCGCCGUAAAAC
rnacentral:rRNA from 1 species